rnacentral:rRNA from 1 species
UCGACGGCAGCACGGGCUUCGGCCCGGUGGCGAGUGGCGAACGGGAGAGUAAUACAUCGGAACGUGCCCUGUAGUGGGGGAUAACUAGUCGAAAGAUUAGCUAAUACCGCAUACGACCUGAGGGUGAAAGCGGGGGACCGCAAGGCCUCGCGCUACAGGAGCGGCCGGUGUCUGAUUAGCUAGUUGGUGGGGUAAGAGCCUACCAAGGCGACGAUCAGUAGCUGGUCUGAGAGGACGAUCAGCCACACUGGGACUGAGACACGGCCCAGACUCCUACGGGAGGCAGCAGUGGGGAAUUUUGGACAAUGGGGGCAACCCUGAUCCAGCAAUGCCGCGUGUGUGAAGAAGGCCUUCGGGUUGUAAAGCACUUUUGUCCGGAAAGAAAUGGCCUGGGUGAAUACCCCGGGUCGAUGACGGUACCGGAAGAAUAAGCACCGGCUAACUACGUGCCAGCAGCCGCGGUAAUACGUAGGGUGCGAGCGUUAAUCGGAAUUACUGGGCGUAAAGCGUGCGCAGGCGGUUUUGUAAGACAGGCGUGAAAUCCCCGAGCUUAACUUGGGAAUGGCGCUUGUGACUGCAAGGCUAGAGUAUGUCAGAGGGGGGUAGAAUUCCACGUGUAGCAGUGAAAUGCGUAGAGAUGUGGAGGAAUACCGAUGGCGAAGGCAGCCCCCUGGGACGUCACUG